rnacentral:rRNA from 1 species
UAAAGUUNAAUAUGCUCAGGACGAACGCUGCCGGCGUGCCUAAUACAUCAAGUCNAGCGCGGNAAGCCGGCGGACUCCUUCGGAAGAAACCGGUGAACGAGCGGCGGACGGGUGAGUAACACGUGGGCAACCUGCCGGACUGAUGGGAAUAACCCCGGGAAACCGGGGCUAAUGCCCAAUACGCCCUGACCUCGCCUGAGGUCAGCGGUAAAGCAGGGAUCUUCGGAUCCUUGCACAGUCCGAUGGGCCCGCGGCGCAUUAGCUAGUUGGAGAGGUAAGGGCUCCCCAAGGCGACGAUGCGUAGCCGACCUGAGAGGGUGAUCGGCCACACUGGGACUGAGACACGGCCCAGACUCCUACGGGAGGCAGCAGUAGGGAAUCAUCCGCAAUGGGCGAAAGCCUGACGGUGCAACGCCGCGUGAGUGAUGAAGGUUUUCGGAUCGUAAAGCUCUGUUGACAGGGAAGAACCCACGCCAGUCGAACAGGCUGGCGUGCUGACGGUACCUGNCCAGAAAGCCCGGCUAA